rnacentral:snoRNA from 1 species
UUCGAUGAUGAUCUACAACCUAUUGUUUUACUUAUUUCUGGUACCUCUUAUGUUAGAAUCCUUCGGGAUUCAAUGAAUGAACUGGACUUCUGACC